rnacentral:lncRNA from 1 species
CUGGCAAAUUUCCAACAUAUAUUAUCAACUACUAUUCUAUACAAAGAAAGAUAACUCCAAUUGAAAAUUAAUUGCUAUUGCACAAUACUUGAUAUGGAAUCCUGAUUUGGACCAACUUGAAAACUGGGCCCAUAAUCAAAAAUCAAAGUACAUAUUUAAAUAAAGCAUCUCAAAUAAGCCCAAGAAUUUAAUUUUUGUUAAAAUCAAACUUAGUUUAAUUUUGGACCCUUUGGACCUUAAUGUAGACCAAUUUGAAAACUGGACCAAA